ACUUCAUUUUUUCCCCACUUUAUAUUACAGCCUUAUUCCAAAAUGGAGUAAAUUAGCUUUUCCCCCUCAAAUUUAUACUCACAACAACCCAAUAACGAAAACAUGAAAAAUGUUU